AUAUUACAUUAAAUGUGAUUGUCUCUUUGAAUAUACAGUAACGAAGAUCAGAUUUGUGAAAACAGCGACAAUAAAGAAAUUAGAAGUAAAAAGAUACUUUUGAAUAAAACCGAAAUCAUAAGUGAAGGACUGAAUGAAUUUUUUUGAAUUACUUUAUUUUAAAAAGUUUAAAUAUAACGCAUAGCAAAUAUACCGCAACCUUUACGAAAAGUGUUAAUUAAAAGGUGAAGUGCAGGAUCUUAAAAUUCUCUAAAUAUUUUAUAUGAAGAAGAAAACUAUUUUAAAAUUGGGUGCGGAUAAAAUUGUUAAAACAGUAAGGAUAAUCCGGAUUCGAGUCUGUUUUGGUAACAAACUUGAGAUAUUUAUUAAAUAUUAUUCGUUCCUAAUGUUGGGCGUUUAAUUUUUUGUAGUAAAACCACAUCUGCAUAUGAUUUAAGGCGUAACAAUCUUCAAAAGUUUGUGGAGAGCUGCUUUUAUAUUUCGGUCGCUUUCCUUCAGCAGAAAAAUACACGAGGUUCACCUUAAUGAAAGAUUUAAACCGGUGUGUUUAUGUUUUGAAGGUCGAUACGAAUCAUGAUCUGCGUCUUUUGUGGGAUCUUUUCGUGUAUUCGAUUCACCACGAACUACCAAGAACAAGCAGGUCUAUAGGUUACGCAAGUAUACACUUAUAUAACCCUUUUCCCACCGACGCUUGUUAUAUAUCGUAUUAACUUUCGAAAUUGCGUAUUGUACAUUUUCAUUUGCAAAGGCGGAUCUGUCCAGACAGAAAAAUUGCGUUGUGUAUUUGUCAAACACUUCGUCAAAACCAGAGUGUGCCUUAUAACAUUGAUUUAGCGCAGGUUUAAAGUGAAGGGAAGGCCAAAGUUCUGACAAGCAUUUACAGCAAAGGUUACGACCCAAUUAAAUUACCGGAUUAGUAAAUUUUCAGUUAAACCUAACACUUCUGUGAAUCUGUACGACAGCAGCAGGGAACUGUAGUGAAUGCAUAUAUAGUGACGAUUAUAGAUUUGUUCGGGUGAAAAACGACAAAACGUCGACGCCCCAACUCACAUUUUGAGUCACAAUUAUCGAAUUAGCUCGCAUUUACCGGGAUUUACGACACCCAGCACCGUAGUUUCGCACGGUACUGUUUGUUUUCUGAAACAUUUGCUGAAACAAAAUGCGUCCAAUUACGAAGCAUACACGUAGUAACAGUAAACGUAAGGCUUUUUUUAAAGCUGUUAACAUGGAAUGAAAAUUUGCAGGGUCGCCUGCAUGUCUAGGCAAAGCAAUGUAUCGUAUAUACACCUUUUGCAAUCCUUUAAUAUAAACGUUCGAAACCGCCGUCACUGCUGAUAGUUAUCUAGUGGGUGAGUCAUAUACCCCGUCGCUAACUGACACCAGCGUAAGUAAACAGACUUUGUGGUCACGCAGCAACGGGAGAACUUGUUCAAAUUGCCCAAUAACGGUCACCUUGUAUGCCAAAGAAAAGGCAUGUAGGCUAUACGCGAAACAAUUUUGCAAAUAUGAUUAAACACUUGUAGCUUUUAAAUGUAAUGUUUAAAUCACAGCUAUUGAAACUGUCUGGUGGUUUCUAAAGUACAUCUUUCGUGGCUAAGCAGAAUUGUCACAUAUAUAACCGCGUUAUCCAAGGCUGCACGCGAAUAGUUUGCUAAAUUUUCAGUUCGAGUGAAAUAUGAUAUUUGUGCGUGUGCCGAGCGAUGUUAUUUUGACGUUGCUUCCUCUAACUGGACUCUUAAUUGGCGACAAUUUUUAUGGCAACGUAGAGUUAGCUGAGUAAUUACGCGAUAUGCAACCACUGACGUCCAAUAGCUAAAACCACACUCAACCAUUAUUGAUUACUGUAAUUAAACUCAGUUUCCAAUCUAACCGUUCGGGACGAGUUGUUUUAGUCGCCUUUACAAAUGAAUAUAUUCAUAUACGUUACAGCUAAAACGUGUGCAACUUGCGUUGGAGACAUGUUUGAGAUUAUCUGGCUGUCGCAAUAAACUGUGGCACAUAAGAUAUGAAUUUGUAAACACGCAC